AGCGCGCCCUUCGGGGUGGGCGGCGGACGGGUUAGUAACGCGUGGGAACGUGCCCAGAUCUAAGGAAUAGCCACUGGAAACGGUGAGUAAUACCUUAUACGCCCUUCGGGGGAAAGAUUUAUCGGAUUUGGAUCGGCCUGCGUUAGAUUAGGUAGUUGGUGGGGUAAUGGCCUACCAAGCCUACGAUCUAUAGCUGGUUUUAGAGGAUGAUCAGCAACACUGGGACUGAGACACGGCCCAGACUCCUACGGGAGGCAGCAGUGGGGAAUCUUGGACAAUGGGGGGAACCCUGAUCCAGCCAUGCCGCGUGAGUGAUGAAGGCCUUAGGGUCGUAAAGCUCUUUCGCCUGUGAUGAUAAUGACAGUAGCAGGUAAAGAAACCCCGGCUAACUCCGUGCCAGCAGCCGCGGUAAUACGGAGGGGGUUAGCGUUGUUCGGAAUUACUGGGCGUAAAGCGCGCGUAGGCGGAUUAGUCAGUUAGAGGUGAAAUCCCAGGGCUCAACCCUGGAACUGCCUUUAAUACUGCUAGUCUUGAGUUCGAGAGAGGUGAGUGGAAUUCCGAGUGUAGAGGUGAAAUUCGUAGAUAUUCGGAGGAACACCAGUGGCGAAGGCGGCUCACUGGCUCGAUACUGACGCUGAGGUGCGAAAGUGUGGGGAGCAAACAGGAUUAG
rnacentral:rRNA from 1 species